CAGUAGCCACGGUAAUACGAAGGGUGCAAGCGUUACUCGGAAUUACUGGGCGUAAAGCGUGCGUAGGUGGUGGUUUAAGUCCGUUGUGAAAGCCCUGGGCUCAACCUGGGAAUUGCAGUGGAUACUGGGUCACUAGAGUGUGGUAGAGGAUAGUGGAAUUUUCGGUGUAGCAGUGAAAUGCGUAGAGAUCGGAAGGAACAUCUGUGGCGAAGGCGACUAUCUGGGCCAACACUGACACUGAGGCACGAAAGCGUGGGGAGCAAACAGGAUUAGAUACCCGCGUAGUCCCUGUCUCUUAUAC
rnacentral:rRNA from 1 species